CCUAUUGAGUGUUAUAUCAAAUGAUAGUAGAAGUGAGGUUUACUUCACUUUGAGGUCAGACAUGAUGAUGUAGGAA
ncrna:unclassified sequences RAGATH-18 RNA